rnacentral:rRNA from 1 species
GUCCUCUUGUUUUAUAUAUGAGGUCUGACCUGCCCAGUGAAAAUUAUUUUAACGGCCGCGGUAUUUUGACCGUGCAAAGGUAGCAUAAUCAUUAGUCUUUUAAUAGGAGGCUGGAAUGAAGGGUUUGGCGAGGUAUUGACUGUCUCAUUUAAUUUGAAAUUAAAAUUUAACUUUUCAGUUAAAAGGCUGAAAUUUUAUUGGAAGACGAGAAGACCCUAUAGAGCUUUAUAUUUAAAAUUAAUAAUAAAUUUUUGUUUAUUAUUAUUUCUUAUUAUUUUAAUUAUUUUGUUGGGGUGACAAAAAUAUAUAAAUAACUUUUUUAUUUAAAUAACAUUGAUUUAUGAUUAUUAGAUCCAGUCUUAUUGAUUGUUAGAUUAAGUUACCUUAGGGAUAACAGCGUAAUCUUCCUUCAGAGUUCAUAUUUACAGGAAGGAUUGCGACCUCGAUGUUGGAUUAAGAUAAUAAUUAGGUGUAGCCGCUUAAUAUAUAGGUCUGUUCGACCUUUAAAUUCUU